CGCUGGCGGCGUGCCUAUACAUGCAGUCGAGCGGACAGAUGGGAGCUUGCUCCCUGAUGUUAGCGGCGGACGGGUGAGUAACACGUGGGUAACCUGCCUGUAAGACUGGGAUAACUCCGGGAAACCGGGGCUAAUACCGGAUGGUUGUCUGAACCGCAUGGUUCAGACAUAAAAGGUGGCUUCGGCUACCACUUACAGAUGGACCCGCGGCGCAUUAGCUAGUUGGUGAGGUAACGGCUCACCAAGGCGACGAUGCGUAGCCGACCUGAGAGGGUGAUCGGCCACACUGGGACUGAGACACGGCCCACACUCCUACGGGAGGCAGCAGUAGGGAAUCUUCCGCAAUGGACGAAAGUCUGACGGAGCAACGCCGCGUGAGUGAUGAAGGUUUUCGGAUCGUAAAGCUCUGUUGUUAGGGAAGAACAAGUGCCGUUCAAAUAGGGCGGCACCUUGACGGUACCUAACCAGAAAGCCACGGCUAACUACGUGCCAGCAGCCGCGGUA
rnacentral:rRNA from 1 species